AUGGAGCUGGAUCUGAACGUGGAGGAGAAGCCGGCGGCGGUGGCGCGGAGCGACUCCGGGACGUCGGAGUCGUCGGUGCUGAACGCGGAGGCGUCCUGCGGCGGGGGCGCCGCGCCGGCCGAGGAGGCCUCCAGCUCGACGCGCCAGCCGGCGCCGGCGCCGCGGGCGGUGCUCGAGUUCAGCAUCCUGAGGAGCUCGGCGUCCGCCGAGGGCGAGAACGACGUCGGCGCCGACGACGACGAGGAGGAGGCCACUCCCUCGCCUCCACCUCCGCCGACGCGGCACUACCACCAGCACCUGCUGCAGCCGCAACAACUCGUCACCCAAGAGCUGUUCCCCGCCGCGGCCACCGCCGGCGGUCCGCCGCCGAUGUCCGUGCCGCAGCAUUGGGCCGAGCUCGGCUUCUUCCGCCCCGCGGCGCCGCCUCCGGACAUGAGGAUCCUGCAGAUGCAGCAGCAGCAGCUGCAGGUGCACGCGCAGCCCCCGCCGCCGCCGGCGGCCCAGCCGCCGGUGGCCAAGAAGAGCCGCCGCGGCCCGCGCUCCCGCAGCUCGCAGUACCGCGGCGUGACCUUCUACCGCCGCACCGGCCGCUGGGAAUCCCAUAUCUGGGAUUGCGGCAAGCAGGUGUACUUGGGUGGAUUUGACACUGCACAUGCUGCUGCAAGGGCGUACGAUCGAGCGGCGAUCAAGUUCCGUGGCGUCGACGCCGACAUAAACUUCAACCUCAGCGACUACGAGGACGACAUGAAGCAGAUGAAGGGCCUGUCCAAGGAGGAGUUCGUGCACGUGCUGCGGCGGCAGAGCACCGGCUUCUCGCGGGGCAGCUCCAAGUACAGAGGCGUCACCCUGCACAAGUGCGGCCGGUGGGAGGCGCGCAUGGGCCAGUUCCUCGGCAAGAAGUACAUAUAUCUUGGGCUAUUCGACAAUGAAGUAGAGGCUGCAAGGGCUUACGACAAGGCGGCGAUCAAAUGCAACGGUAGGGAGGCCGUGACGAACUUCGAGCCGAGCACCUAUGAUGCGGAGCUGCUCAGUGAGGUUGCUGCUGAAGGCGCAGAUGUCGACCUCAACUUGAGCAUAUCUCAACCAACUUCACAAAGUCCCAAAAGGGAUAAGAGCAGCCUUGGCCUGCAACUCCACCAUGGAUCAUAUGAAGGCUCUGAACUAAAGAGACCAAAGGUCGAUGCGCCCCCUGAGAUGGUCGCAAUCCCUCAUCGAUACCCCCUUCUGACCGAGCAUCCACCAAUCUGGCAUGGCCAAUCAUAUCCCAUCUUUUUAAAUAAUGAGGAUGCAGCCAGAGAUCAUAGCAGGAGGCCAGAGGUGGCCACAGGGGGUGUUCCAACCUGGGCAUGGAGUGUGAGCCACCCUCCUCCAACACAACCCAUGCCACUCUUCUCGUCGUCAUCGUCCGCUGCAGCAUCAUCAGGAUUCUCCAAAACCGCCGCGGCAGCUGCCCCCGGCGCCCCAUCGGCCUCAUUCCGGUUCGACCCGAUGGCGCCAUCAUCAUCGUCAAGCAACCAACACCACCACCACCCCCGCUGA
rnacentral:rRNA from 1 species